rnacentral:tRNA from 1 species
GGAGAGGUGCUGGAGUGGCCGAACAGGACUGCCUGCUAAGCAGUUGCCCUGGCAAAACCGGGGCCGGGGGUUCGAAUCCCCCCCUCUCCGCCA